rnacentral:rRNA from 1 species
CCAUGCAUGUCUAAGUACAAACUAUAUUAAAGUGAAACCGCGAAAGGCUCAUUAAAUCAGUUAUGGUUCCUUAGAUCGUACCACAAUUACUUGGAUAACUGUGGUAAUUCUAGAGCUAAUACAUGCAAACAGAGCUCUAACCGGAGACGGAAGGAGUGCUUUUAUUAGAUCAAAACCAAUCGGCGUCGGUAGCAUUUCGGUGUUAUCGUUCGUCGCUCAAUAUAUGGUGAAUCUGAAUAACUUUAUGCUGAUCGCAUGGUCUUGUACCGGCGACGCAUCUUUCAAAUGUCUGCCUUAUCAACUGUCGAUGGUAGGAUCUGCGCCUACCAUGGUUGUAACGGGUAACGGGGAAUCAGGGUUCGAUUCCGGAGAGGGAGCCUGAGAAACGGCUACCACAUCCAAGGAAGGCAGCAGGCGCGCAAAUUACCCACUCCCGGCACGGGGAGGUAGUGACGAAAAAUAACGAUACGGGACUCAUCCGAGGCCCCGUAAUCGGAAUGAGUACACUUUAAAUCCUUUAACAAGGACCAAUUGGAGGGCAAGUCUGGUGCCAGCAGCC